UCGAGAAUCUUCGGCAAUGGGCGAAAGCCUGACCGAGCGACGCCGCGUGUGGGAUGAAGGCCUUCGGGUUGUAAACCACUGUCGUAGAGGAGGAAAUUGAUUGGGGUUCUCCCCAGUCAUUGACCUAUUCUAGGAGGAAGGACGGGCUAAGUUCGUGCCAGCAGCCGCGGUAAUACGAACCGUCCAAACGUUAUUCGGAAUUACUGGGCUUAAAGGGUACGUAGGCGGCGCUGUUAGUCGGGUGUGAAAGCCCUCGGCUCAACCGAGGAAUUGCGCCCGAUACUGCAGUGCUUGAGGGAGACAGAGGUAAGCGGAACUGAUGGUGGAGCGGUGAAAUGCGUUGAUAUCAUCAGGAACACCGGUGGCGAAAGCGGCUUACUGGGUCUCUUCUGACGCUGAGGUACGAAAGCCAGGGGAGCGAAGGG
rnacentral:rRNA from 1 species